GCGGAUUAAUGGGAGCUUGCUCCCGUUAAUUAGCGGCGGACGGGUGAGUAACACGUGGGCAACCUACCUGUAAGACUGGGAUAACUUCGGGAAACCGGAGCUAAUACCGGAUGACACUGAGGAACUCCUGUUCCUUAGUUGAAAGAUGGCUUCGGCUAUCACUUACAGAUGGGCCCGCGGCGCAUUAGCUAGUUGGUGAGGUAACGGCUCACCAAGGCGACGAUGCGUAGCCGACCUGAGAGGGUGAUCGGCCACACUGGGACUGAGACACGGCCCAGACUCCUACGGGAGGCAGCAGUAGGGAAUCUUCCGCAAUGGACGAAAGUCUGACGGAGCAACGCCGCGUGAGCGAUGAAGGCCUUCGGGUCGUAAAGCUCUGUUGUUAGGGAAGAACAAGUGCUAGUUAAAUAAGCUGGCACCUUGACGGUACCUAACCAGAAAGCCACGGCUAACUACGUGCCAGCAGCCGCGGUAAUACGUAGGUGGCAAGCGUUGUCCGGAAUUAUUGGGCGUAAAGCGCGCGCAGGCGGUUUCUUAAGUCUGAUGUGAAAGCCCCCGGCUCAACCGGGGAGGGUCAU
rnacentral:rRNA from 1 species